rnacentral:lncRNA from 1 species
UGAGUCGCUUUGAGCCACCCAGCAGGCUCACUUGGCAGGUAAACACUUUGGUGGCUGAGGACCCAGCCUGGUGACAGCCCCCCUUCCUGCCACCUGCCAGGAUCAGGUUGGACAAGAAGAGAGGGAACAGCAGCCUGGCAGAUGCUGCCACGUGGUAU